CAGGUUUCUCGGUUAACGAAUAUGAAAAGUUUAUUUUAUUGUUCGUUGUCGUCGAAACCUGAA
rnacentral:pre_miRNA from 1 species